AUUGGCCAGCUGCGAGGUCCGGAGGGGAGGGCCAGGAGGUGGGCGAGGCGGAAGCGCGACCUUGGGGCCGAGUCGUCCAGCGCGCUCGGUGCCCUCAGGCUCCAGGGUAAUUUGGGGCCUGUAGGUUUGAGGUAAGCUGGCUGGCACCUUCAGCAAGAUGCUUCCUUGCCUGCAUACGGGGGUUUCAGAAGCUACUCUCACCCCCUGGAUCCUGGAAUAAGAGUGAUGUGGAGCAGAGCCGCAACUGGAUCUUAACUGACCUGCACCUGAGCAAGAAAUGCAUUUGGAGUUGUAAGCAACUGAGAUGUGAUACAUAUGUGAUGACAGGAGCAGGAGCAGCUACUUUGGAGCCAAAGAUGAAAGUCAUGUCUGGAGGAUGAUAGCGUCAUUUGAGCUAAAGGAACUCAUCCAUCCAACCAUGGUGAGAAGAAAUCCUAGAAACCAGGGAGAGGCAUGGGGUCUCCUUGCCUUUUUCCAUGACUGAGUUCCCACCUGACAGCCAGCACCAACUUGCCAGCCAUGCAUUAACACAUACUAGAAGCAGAUUCUCCAACCCCAGUGAAGCUGCCCCAACUGAUACAACAUGGAACAGACAUAAGCCUUUUCUAUUGAUUGCUGACUUAGCUCAAAGUUUGUGAACUAGGCAGUUGUUUCCCGUGAGCCGUUGUGUCUUGCUGCCCAGCUUCGAAUGGCCACAUUCCUGGGAAGGAGGCCUUCUUCCAGUCUCCUGGGAGCCUAUAAAGUAUAAAGUUGUUAACCAGAUCAUGGAAAAGGACCACAGAACACUGAGUUAUUACGGAAGUGGCAACUGAAGGAAGAGCCACCAGCUGGAGAACAAAGAGAAAAGAGAAAGUAGAGAUCUGACUCACUGCUGAAUAUAACAUCUCCCCUUUGACGUCUUCAGUACAUGUAAUUUCCAGGUAAGAACUCCCAAUUUUGUAAACCUCUGAAUGUCUACCAUAUAUGCUGAAAGGGGGAGGUAGGCAAGGAGUUGGGCUCUGCAGUUUCACUUUCCAGGUUCAAAUGCAGGAUCCACCACUCAGAACUGUGUAAAUUUAACAAGACCUCUCUUUCAUAAGCCUUGUUUCCUUACCUGGAAAAUGGUGUAAUGACAAUAUCUCUACAUAACAAUUCAUUUUAAAUACUCCUUUAAGCAUCUGGUAUCUCAUAAAUGCUCAAUAUACAUUAGCUACUUAAAAAAAAAAGCUUUAAAAUAAUUACAUUAGGAAAGCAAUUGCUUCUGCAACAAUGCAUACAAAACAGCCAAACACCUUUGAAUAUAUAUGCUGAGUGUUCAGCAAGCUUCAUGUACCAGCUAGGUGACUUGGGCCCUACACAACUCCUAUUUGUGUCCUAGAAAAGUUAAAAAUUCCUUUGGAGUAUCGACCGUCAGGAACACUUACAAAUAACUGAAAUACUAAAUCUGCAUAUACCCAGGAUCUAAUGCAGAGUUGACAAAUAACUGGGGAGUAAAAUAGUAAACUUUUAGAAGGAAAUGUCGCUGAAAUACCAUCCAGCUUUGUGACAAAGACUAAAACAUAUUAAUGUCUGCAACAAAAGUAAUUUAAAACAUAAAUGAGCUACAGAAUGCUGUACAUGAAUUAUAUAAUCCUCUGAGUGACUUAUUAGAACUUCAGGGUUAAUACAAGACCAAUUAAAUAGUUCAGCUCACUGAAGCCAUCAUCCCAUAAUGAUAAUGUAGGGUUUCCCAGGAAACACACUGGAGUUGCUGAAAUGGAGACUGAGCAUAAAAGGUAAAAGUCUCAUGGUUUUCUGUCUUCUUCAGAGAGGUAGCUUUAAAAUGUCCUGGGAUAAAUCAACUAUACUUUAAUAAAAAAUAA